AUCUUCGAUGUUUCUGCCCGCAGAACCAUUCCCACGCGUGCCGACAAGUGGGCCCCCACUCGCUCGCUCUCUUCCUCCAUCCUAUCCGCACCGCACUCGCCCACGCGCCGCAGCCCCCCUCCCGAAGGCGGCGAGGCGCCUCCAGAUGCAGGGACAACGGAGAGCACGCGCAUGAAGGUAAGCGCGUCGUGCAGCGUGCUUGGCGGAGAAGAUGGAUGCAAUGAUGCGGCGGUGGUGAGGAGCAAGAGGAGGGGCGCGAGCCAGUCAGAGGCGAGGCGGGAGAGGAGGCGGCGCUGGGCGUCGGAGCAUGGGGAGGAGGCGUCAAGGGCGGUGUUGUCGGUGUCCAUGUGGCGGAAGAGGGCAUGGGAGAUAGCGAUGUGGAGGAGGAAGAGGGCGGAGAGCGGGGGACGAAGGCUGCAUACCUCUCGCGUCACCUCUCUCUCUGUCCCCCUUCGCCUGGGCACGCCGUCGCCCCCGGUUCCUCCGCCCGCGCUCACCACCUGCGUGCCCCCUCACCACCACCGGCCUCUCCCGCGAGCGCGCGACCUCGCCCCGCCGGCUCCUGCCGAGCGAGCUACCGUUGCGCCGCUGACCUGCCGUGGCCAUGGGCUCAGAGCGCGUUGGGCUCGCCAUCACCGCCGUCUCCGCUCUCCGACCCCCACCGUGCGCCGCCAUCGCGCCCGCCCUCACCGCCACAGGCCUCUCCUGCGAGCGCGCAGCCUCGCCCCGCUCCUGGCGUCCCCAUCGCGCCUCCCUGCCGUCUCCUCCCAAGCAAGUUGCCGCGGUGCCGCCGACCUGCCGUGGCCAUCGGGUGCACCACCGCUCUAGGCUCCAUCCAACUCAGUUUUCCCAUUGGAGAAGACAAUGAAGAGGAGCACACUCUGUUUCCUACCGCUCCCUGUCCUUUUGAGAUUUGGUUAAUUUAGACUUCAUGGGAUUCUGCUAUUUGUGGAUCAUGUGAGUGAGGUGUUCUUCAGGAUCGUGUGUGUGAGGCUGUUCCUCGAUUGCGAAAUGUUUGUUGGUUUAAUGAUUGCUAUUAUGGAUAUGUUACAUGAUAAUUCUUUGCAAUGGGGUUACUUUCACUCCCCUUAUUUGUUGACUCUUCCUUCCGUUACUAUCACUUCUAUUGUGUA